AUGCGUCCUGCACCCUCCAGGCCCUCCCUCCCCCUGCCUGCUUUGAGCCCUCCUCCUGCCACAUCCCGUUUUCUAUGCUGUUUUGGUGCAAGUACAACUGUCGUAGUCAUGGCUUGGGGAUGGGUUCUGUUUAUUAAAAUCCUAUUGAUCCUACUGGCCCUGUGUCCCGCCUCCAUUCCUCUGGCUGGGGGGAAGGCAGGGCAGCCUGGACACCUUUCCACCAGCCCCCCCUCAGUUAUCAGAGACAAGGGGCCACAACUGCUCCUCCAGUAGGGCUAUGGUGAGCAUGAGGGCACCCCCCAGCAGCAGCCCCAACCCCUGCAGCAGCACGUGGAGCGGGGGGAGAGGCUCGGGAGGACGAAGCAGGGCUGGGAGCUGAAAGGAAAGAACAUCAGGGGGUCAGAAAAGCCCCCUGCUUCCCGCCCCCGCCCCCCCCGCCGCCCCCCCGCC
rnacentral:lncRNA from 1 species